AGAGUUUGAUCAUGGCUCAGGAUGAAUGCUGGCGGCGUGCCUAACACAUGCAAGUCGAGCGGUAAGGCCCUUCGGGGUACACGAGCGGCGGACGGCUGAGUAACGCGUGGGAAUUUGCCCCAAAGUGAGGAAUAACUGCCCGAAAGGGUAGCUAAUGCCGCAUAUGGUCUUCGGAUUAAAGGAUUUAUCCGCUUUGGGAGAAGCCCGCGUUGGAUUAGGUAGUUGGUGAGAUAAAGGCUCACCAAGCCAACGAUCCAUAGCUGGUCUGAGAGGAUGACCAGCCAGACUGGAACUGAGACACGGUCCAGACUCCUACGGGAGGCAGCAGUGAGGAAUCUUCCACAAUGGGCGAAAGCCUGAUGGAGCAACGCCGCGUGCAGGAUGAAGGCCUUCGGGUUGUAAACUGCUUUUAUGAGUGAAGAAUAUGACGGUAACUCAUGAAUAAGCACCGGCUAACUACGUGCCAGCAGCCGCGGUAAUA
rnacentral:rRNA from 1 species